rnacentral:rRNA from 1 species
GAUGAACGCUGGCGGCGUGCCUAAUACAUGCAAGUCGAGCGAACAGACGAGGAGCUUGCUCCUCUGACGUUAGCGGCGGACGGGUGAGUAACACGUGGAUAACCUACCUAUAAGACUGGGAUAACUUCGGGAAACCGGAGCUAAUACCGGAUAAUAUAUUGAACCGCAUGGUUCAAUAGUGAAAGACGGUUUUGCUGUCACUUAUAGAUGGAUCCGCGCCGCAUUAGCUAGUUGGUAAGGUAACGGCUUACCAAGGCAACGAUGCGUAGCCGACCUGAGAGGGUGAUCGGCCACACUGGAACUUAGACACGGUCCAGACUCCUACGGGAGGCAGCAGUAGGGAAUCUUCCGCAAAGGGCGAAAGCCUGACGGAGCAACGCCGCGUGAGUGAUGAAGGUCUUCGGAUCGUAAAACUCUGUUAUUAGGGAAGAACAAAUGUGUAAGUAACUAUGCACGUCUUGACGGUACCUAAUCAGAAAGCCACGGCUAACUACGUG